AAGGUGGGGAUGACGUCAAAUCAUCAUGCCCCUUAUGACCUGGGCUACACACGUGCUACAAUGGACAGAACAAAGGGCUGCGAGACCGCAAGGUUUAGCCAAUCCCAUAAAUCUGUUCUCAGUUCGGAUCGCAGUCUGCAACUCGACUGCGUGAAGCUGGAAUCGCUAGUAAUCGCGGAUCAGCAUGCCGCGGUGAAUACGUUCCCGGGCCUUGUACACACCGCCCGUCACACCACGAGAGUUUGUAACACCCGAAGUCGGUGAGGUAACCUUUAUGGAGCCAGCCGCCGAAGGUGGGACAGAUGAUUGGGGUGAAGUCGUAACAAGGUAGCCGUAUCGGAAGGUGCGGCUGGAUCACCUCCUUU
rnacentral:rRNA from 1 species